rnacentral:lncRNA from 1 species
GUUAACUUGGUGCCAUUGGGCAGAGGGUGAGAGCCCAGCAAACCGGAGAGAUCAGCUGCCCACAUCAGUGGCGAGGAGUGCGGAGAGUGGGUGAGGCUGGGGCAGGAAGCAGGCCAGCCUGCCAGAGCCCAGGAACAGGACCUGCUGAAGCUCACACCCGUGGACCACCCAGACUGCCUGCCGCUACAGGAUGCCCUCCGCAUCUCCCAGGACUUCUUUCCGGCAUCAGUGUGGACAUUGACCCCACUGGACUGCAGUCACAGUGGACUCCCAAGGGGCAGGAUCCACCUCUGAUGUUCAGUGAAGACUACCAGAAAAGUCUGCUAGAGCAGUACCAUCUGGGUCUGGAUCAAAAACUCAGAAAAUACGUGGUUGGAGAGCUCAUCUGGAAUUUUGCCGAUUUCAUGACUAACCAGUGUGGUUGAGGAGUGGGCCCAGGGCACCUUCAAACUCAACCCCAAUGAUGAGGACAUCCACACAGCCAACAAGUGCCACCUGAAGGUA